AUUGAACGCUGGCGGCAGGCUUAACACAUGCAAGUCGAGCGGAGAUGAGGUGCUUGCACCUUAUCUUAGCGGCGGACGGGUGAGUAAUGCUUAGGAAUCUGCCUAUUAGUGGGGGACAACAUUCCGAAAGGAAUGCUAAUACCGCAUACGUCCGACGGGAGAAAGCAGUGGAUCUUCGGACCUUGCGCUAAUAGAUGAGCCGAAGUCGGAGUAGCUAGUUGGUGGGGUAAAGGCCUACCAAGGCGACGAUCUGUAGCGGGUCUGAGAGGAUGAUCCGCCACACUGGGACUGAAACACGGCCCAGACUCCUACGGGAGGCAGCAGUGGGGAAUAUUGGACAAUGGGGGGAACCCUGAUCCAGCCAUGCCGCGUGUGUGAAGAAGGCCUUAUGGUUGUAAAGCACUUUAAGCGAGGAGGAGGCUACUGAGACUAAUACUCUUGGAUAGUGGACGUUACUCGCAGAAUAAGCACCGGCUAACUCUGUGCCAGCCGCCGCUGUAACAC
rnacentral:rRNA from 1 species